rnacentral:lncRNA from 10 species
GGGAGGCUGAGGCAGGAGAACUGCUUGAACCUGGGAGGCAGAGGUUGCAGUGAGCUGAGAUCACGCCACUGCACUCCAGCCUAGGCGACAGAGUGAGACUCCGUCUCAAAAAAAAAAAAAAAAAAAAAGAAGAAAAUAGGCAUUGUCCUUUAUAACCGUUCUUUUUUGAUUAAAUUGAAAAUAUAUUAGGGAAUGCUGUGUCUAUCAGCAGAUUUUAAGUUGCUUACCAAAUAUGUAUCCUAUGUUAAUUAUACUUAUAUUAAUGAGGUUUGAAAUGUUGAAUGAGAGUAACGUAUUUAAUCUUCCUAUUUAGUUCAGUAUUUGGCUCAGACUUUCUUAUUUAUAGAACUCUGUAACAUAGCUCUAAUUAUUAAAUUACUUUUGCAGCAGAGUACCAUAUCUGUUUCUUAUCUGCAGAGAUCUGUUUUCAAUGCAGUUUUAUUCUACUUCUUAUUCUGAUUUAAGAUGGGAUGAUAGUUUUGACAAAAUUGAACUUAUUUUAAUUUCUGUGUCUGAUUUUUUCAUUUACUGUAGGAGCUGUUGGUGGUGAUGACUUGAAUUUUUUUUUUAAUGGGGAAAAAAAACCUCAUGAGCAUCUGCUAUGACUCUAGAAUGUUAGUCACUGAAGCAAAUUAGUGUAGUUGUAGAUGUUGCAAGUAAUAUUUUUAGAUAGACUGCCAGUGGCUAUGUGGGAGCCUUUUAAUUACAUUAGGUAGCUUCUGGGUAUGUUAUUCAUCACUUUGCAUUUCUCUAAUACUUAUUGAAGUUCUGAACCUUGAAUUUAAUCAUGUUGGAUUAAUCUGGGGUUCACCUUCAAAUAUAUAGAAUAACACUUAUAAAAUUUCAUCCCCACUGAUUUCAUCAAAUUUACCAAACAUCUGAAACUAAGACCUUAAGACACUAUAUGAUAUUAGGUCUUUCUCUCUCUCUCUUUUUUUUUUUUUUAACUUUCCAUUUUCUUCUGUCACCUUGAGAGGGCCCAUGAUAUCCUGUCUCUCAGAAACUAUUUGAAUUGUGGGCAGUGUUUCCUUAGAUAAAAUUGUGCUUGUUAGAAAAGGGUGUACAUUUCAGCUAUCGUAGUGUCAGCUCUUUGGUAUCUCUUUGUUUUUAUGUCCACUAUGUUUUGUUGAUGUCUCCUCUUAGUGGUUGGUCAGUAAAUCUGCCUACCUACUGUUUUUUUCCAAGCUUAGUGCUGAUUUUGUAUAUAUAUUUGCUUAAAAUGACAACUCAACUACCCCAAACACAAUAUAGAUUAUAUAAAUUUGAGUACUAGAUUUCACGUGUUUUAUUCUAGCAUAGACAGUUCGUUAGUUUUUCAUCAAAGCUUCUUUAUCCUUAGAAUAAACAAUUCUAGCAUAUCAUAAAUCAUUCUAACCCAGAGAAAAUUAGAAACCAUGAAGCAGAUAAACAAUAUAGUUAGCUAGAAGAGUGUGAACUACCUGACAGCCUGAUAAUAAGAGAGGAGAAAGGGAAGAAACAUAAACUUUCAAAAAAAAAAAAAAAAAAGAAAUCAGUUACUAACAUUUUGUGUAGGGAUUUUAUUUAGCCAGUGAAGGCUUAGUUACAUGACAAAGACCUAGGUUACCAAUAGUAGAUUCAGAGUAGUACAUUCUAAGAUGACAUGGAGAAGUAUAAUCCAUCUUAGAUGUAGCUUCAUCAAAACUGGCUAAAGUAAAAUAUUUUAGUGUUUAAUAUGUAUAAUUCAAUCAUCAGGACAUUUAUUUAGCAUAGGAUUCUUCAUUCUGUCAACUGUGGGAUAACUGAGGUGUCAGUAUGUAGAUUUAUGGUCAUCUCAGCUUGCCCCCUACUUCUGCCCAUGUAAAAGAAUUUUCUGUUAAAUUUUUAUUAAAAACAAUACUAAACUAUGUUUUAGAGUAGAGUGGUGGUUCAGUUUGAACAGAACUCCACGGUUAUCUUUCAUAUAUUUGUAAGAAAUAAAUCAAGCUUUCCUCAGCUUUCCUUUGAGACAAAAUCCAAAAGUAGCAUGCUGAUUAAAGGCCAAAAUUGUGCUAUAUAUGAUACUUCUGAACAGUGUCAGUAGAAAUUUGAAAAAAAAUGUGAAAAAAAAAUUUAUUUUGGGGAGAAAAGUUGUUGAACUAAAGCAAAAGUUUUUUGUUUUCUUUUUAAAAAAUGCAAACAUAGGCCGGGCGCGGUGGCUCACGCCUGUAAUCC